UCGGGAAUUUUGGGCAAUGGGGGAAACCCUGACCCAGCAACGCCGCGUGAAGGAUGAAGUAUUUCGGUAUGUAAACUUCGAAAGAAUAGGAAGAAUAAAUGACGGUACUAUUUAUAAGGUCCGGCUAACUACGUGCCAGCAGCCGCGGUAAUACGUAGGGACCAAGCGUUGUUCGGAUUUACUGGGCGUAAAGGGCGCGUAGGCGGCAUGACAAGUCACUUGUGAAAUCUCUGGGCUUAACCCAGAACGGCCAAGUGAUACUGUCGCGCUAGAGUGCAGAAGGGGCAAUCGGAAUUCUUGGUGUAGCGGUGAAAUGCGUAGAUAUCAAGAGGAACACCUGAGGUGAAGACGGGUUGCUGGGCUGACACUGACGCUGAGGCGCGAAAGCCAGGGGAGCAAACGGGGAUUAGAUACCCACGUAGUCCCUGAGCGGGCUGGCAAGGCGCAU
rnacentral:rRNA from 1 species